AUGCCCUUCUCCCUGCGCCGCCUCCUCCGUCUCCUCCGCGACAUCAUGACUCUUCCCGCCGCGGACGACGCCGCCGUCUCCGAAGGAGAGCGGCGUCAGUGGGAGCCGCCGUUCGACGCUUCCAGGCCGGCGCCGCCCAUCUCCUACCCCAUCACCGACCUCGCCGCGCUCGCCUCCCGCUCCUACCUCUCCGAGGACUCCAACUUCCACCUCCCCUUCAACCGCGCCUCCAUGCCGCUCCCCUCCCCCGGGGCGCCGCUCCCGCCGCGGCGGCGCCUCCUCGUCUGCCAUGACUUCCAGGGCGGCUACCGCGAAGACGCGGCGCCGCAGGGCGGCGCUAAUCCCGAUGCCUACGCGCUCUGGCAUUGGCACCUCGUCGACGUCUUCGUCUACUUCUCUCACUACCUCGUCACUCUCCCGCCGCCAUGCUGGACCAACGCCGCCCACCUCCACGGCGUCAAGGUUUUGGGAACGUUCAUCACAGAGUGGGAUAAAGGUGCAGAAAUCUGCAGGGAGAUGUUUGCAACACAGGAUUCAGCACAGAUGUAUGCCGAGAGGCUUGCAGAGUUGGCUGCUGCCUUAGGCUUUGAUGGCUGGCUGAUCAAUAUUGAGGUUAAGCUCGACAUUCAGUUCAUCGAUAACCUGAAAGAGUUUGUCAAUCAUCUAACCAAGAGAAUGCAUGCUGCUGUUCCUGGAUCUUUAGUCAUAUGGUAUGAUGCAAUUACAGUGGGUGGCGAUCUCGACUGGCAAGAUAAGCUCAACGAGCAUAACAAGCCAUUCUUUGAUUUGUGUGAUGGCUUAUUUGUCAAUUAUACAUGGAAGGAAAAAUAUCCACGAGAUUCAGCUGCAACUGCUGGUGACCGGAAGUAUGAUGUGUACAUGGGUAUUGAUGUUUUCGGCCGAAAUACUUUCGGUGGUGGGCAAUGGAAGACAAAUGUUGCCCUUGAUCUACUCAAAAAAGAUGAUGUCUCAACUGCCAUAUUCGCUCCUGGAUGGAUAUAUGAAACUAAGCAACAACCUGACUUUCAGAGUGCACAAAAUCGCUGGUGGGCUCUCGUUGAAAAAUCAUGGGAUGUUCUUCGGGGCUAUCCGAAACGAUUACCCUUCUACUCAGAUUUUGAUCAGGGUCAUGGUUACCAGGUCUCCUCUGAAGGUCUACAAGUCUCAGGUGAUCCAUGGAACAAUAUUUCUUGCCAGAGUUUUCAGCCUAUGCUUAAGUACACUGGAGAUGAAGUUCAACCACCAGUACGAACUUCUAUCAAUUUCAAGGAUGAGCCGUACAGUGGAGGGAAUUGUGUGACAGUCCAAGGAAGUCUCAGGCAGAAUGCAAUUUUCUCAGAGCAGCUUUUUAAUGGAGGACUUUCCAUGGAAGAUGGAUAUGUACAUCUCUUUUAUUCGGUCAACGCUGAAGCAAACUCUGACCUAGGAUUGUCCCUGGACUUUUUAUCCAGAAACAAGGAGAAUACCUCAAUUCUCAUUGCAGAGGACAUAGCGAUAUUCAGUAGAAAGAAACAGCAUCACUUGUACAGCUCAUAUGUUCAAUCUGAUAAGGUAGAACCACAUGCUCCAGAUAACCAAAACUGGGUCAUCUACCGAGCAACUGUCCAGUCCAGUGCCAGCUACACAUUGAUUGGAAUCAACAUUGUCUGCACACUGAAAACUAGUGGCAAAAUCAAUUCAGAAGCAGAUGAAGAUGAAAGCUCAGAGGAAGAUGCAAAUAGGUUGUGGCCUUACCAUGCAUCACUGGGCCACAUAAGCAUCCGGAACAUGGACGAAAACACACAGUUCCCUUCAGCAGAAUCAUGGGUGACUGAAGGCAAGUACAUCUCUUGGUCAAAUAAUUCCAACACAUCUAAGCUUCUGAGUCUGAAAAUUAGCUGGAAGUUGAAUACCAGCCAUCAAGCAUCAUUCAUGAAGUAUAACAUAUAUGUGGAGAAGUUGAUUGGGGAUUCAAAUGCCAAGGUUUCCAGAAGCUUUCUUGGUGUCGCAACUGUUGAAGCCUUCUAUAUGUCAGACCUCCAAGUUCCCGACGAAGUCACCAGCCUGAAAUUUAUCAUUCAAGCAUGUGGGCGUGAUGGUAGUCGCCAAGGACUCGAGGAAUGUCCAAAGUUGUUUUUGGUGCCAGUAGAGUAG
rnacentral:rRNA from 1 species